GCGGCUGCUCCGGGGUGUGCGUAAGCGCUGAGAUGCGAGGUGGCUGAAGAAAUUCGGCAGGCCUUGCGAACCCGACGAACUUGAUCCGGUUCAUACCGGCGGAAGAAGAGCCGACCUCCUUGUC
rnacentral:ncRNA from 2 species